rnacentral:rRNA from 1 species
UAAGGAAUAUUGGUCAAUGGACGCAAGUCUGAACCAGCCAUGCCGCGUGAAGGAUGAAGGUCCUCUGGAUUGUAAACUUCUUUUAUCUGGGACGAAAACGGGAUUUUUAUCUCAAUUGACGGUACCAGAGGAAUAAGCACCGGCUAACUCCGUGCCAGCAGCCGCGGUAAUACGGAGGGUGCGAGCGUUAUCCGGAUUUACUGGGUUUAAAGGGUGCGUAGGUGGGCUUAUAAGUCAGUGGUGAAAUCUCCGAGCUUAACUUGGAAACUGCCGUUGNUACUAUAGGUCUUGAAUUAUCUGGAGAUAAGCGGAAUAUGUCAUGUAGCGGUGAAAUGCUUAGAUAUGACAUAGAACACCAAUUGCGAAGGCAGCUUACUACAUAUAAAUUGACGCUGAGGCACGAAAGCGUGGGGAUCAAACA